rnacentral:rRNA from 1 species
UACGGAGGGUGCGAGCGUUGUCCGGAAUCACUGGGCGUAAAGGGCGCGUAGGCGGCCUGAUAAGUAGGGGGUGAAAUCUUGCGGCUUAACCGCAAGGCUGCCUUCUAAACUGUCGGGCUAGAGCACAGUAGAGGCAGGUGGAAUUCCCGGUGUAGCGGUGGAAUGCGUAGAGAUCGGGAAGAACAUCAGUGGCGAAGGCGGCCUGCUGGGCUGUUGCUGACGCUGAGGCGCGACAGCGUGGGGAGCAACAGG